AACGAACGCUGGCGGCAGGCCUAACACAUGCAAGUCGAACGCUGUAGCAAUACAGAGUGGCAGACGGGUGAGUAACGCGUGGGAACCUUCCCAGUGGUACGGAAUAGCUCAGGGAAACUUGAGGUAAUACCGUAUAAGCCCCUAGGGGGAAAGAUUUAUCGCCAUUGGAUGGGCCCGCGUCGGAUUAGCUAGUUGGUGAGGUAAUGGCUCACCAAGGCAACGAUCCGUAGCUGGUUUGAGAGAAUGACCAGCCACACUGGGACUGAGACACGGCCCAGACUCCUACGGGAGGCAGCAGUGGGGAAUAUUGGACAAUGGGCGCAAGCCUGAUCCAGCCAUGCCGCGUGAGUGACGAAGGCCUUAGGGUUGUAAAGCUCUUUUGCCGGGGACGAUAAUGACGGUACCCGGAGAAUAAGUCCCGGCUAACUUCGUGCCAGCCGCCGCCGUAA
rnacentral:rRNA from 1 species